GUUACUAUCUAAGCAUCAAGUUUUGCCUUCCUAAUUGAAGUACACUCAACAUUAACUCUGGCCUGUUUGUCUAUCCUUCAGGGAAUGGGAGUUUGGGCCUGAUCAGCUUGUGGGCACUCCUGCAGCACUGGAAGAUUUUGAUGCCAGAAUUGAAGCAGUUGUUGAACACUGCUGAAGCAAUCAAUUGGUCCAGCCCUCCCUGGGCUCAUUUAAAGGCUAGCCUCGGAAGGAGCAACAUCUGCUGGAUGAAGGCUGCUACCUGAGAAGGAGUGUUCUACAGGCAGAGACCCUGGUUGUAACAGAAAGGCUCUGACACUUGAAGGUUUCCCUAGGGCAAGGCUUGAGAACGAUCACCCACUGGCUGCCCCUGCACAUGAAGUUUCAGGCACGCUAUUGUUUGAAAACUUUGAAAAGGGAUGGAUGGUAUUGGCAGAGAGCAGCUGAUAAACCAAGGUGACGAUGGCUUUGUUCGCGGUGCCAGAAGGGAGCGCAUCCUCAGCCCAAGCACAGCAGUGGCUGCACCAGUGCUUGACCCACCCCAGCUAAGGAUCUGCCCUCUGCUGAAACGCAGAAUGGGGAAGAAAUGAAAAUACAAAGGCAGCUGUGCACCAACCGAGACCGCCUCGAUGCAUGUGCUGGUUGGAUUUGCCAUCGUCACUGCUAAGAGCAGGUGCUGGGCUGAAGGCUGACCGAAAUAACCACCCUUGUCCUAAUGGCAAUGGGCAAAAAGCAGCAAACGGAGUGUGAGCGGUGACUGGCACAGUACUAGUGAAUCAGAGGGAGAGCAACCGGCCCCAGCAAAGAGCUGUGGGGAGACACCGUGCCUCUCUGACCUGGGUAAGAUGCCGUGCUCUUGAUGUCCUCGUGAGACAUGGCCACAAGCUCACGGUGCCCAUGUCAACAUCCUCAGCAUUGCUGUCCCCACGUGGUGGGGAAGGUCAGCACAGACCCAGCGUUGGGCUCAGCCCCAUCCCCGCUGCUGGCCCAUGCCCCCUCCUGUCCUUAGUGCCCCCCCACAGACACCACGGAGACCACCCGCUGCUUCGCUCAUAGCUGUAUUGCCCCGACCAUCCCAGCUUCGGCUUAAAAAAGUUAUCACAAAUAAAUCACAACAGCAAAAGAAAUGACUGUGGAAAACCGCGAUCCGCGCCGUCGGAAGUGAGAGCAGUGAGCGAAGCGGCGCCUCGGAGGCAUCGCCAGUCAAAGAGCUUGCGCCGGACGUUGCAUUUUCUCUUCUUC
rnacentral:lncRNA from 1 species